rnacentral:sRNA from 1 species
UAGAAGCUUGGUUAGUAUUUUGGAGUCAAAUAAGACAAGAUGUUAUGUGUUUGAUUGAGUAUAAGAACUAGAACCGCAACAUCUUCCCAAAAGCUAAAGUUGUGUUUCCCUUCUAGAAGAUACAAAGCCAAAAACUCAUACGGACUUUGGCUACACCAUCAAAGCUUUAAGAAGCAACAAGAAGUUUGGUUAGUGUUUUGGAGUCAAAAAAGACUAUAUGUCAUGUGUAGUAUUGAGUAUAAAAACUAGAACCGCAACUGGUUCCCAAAAGCAAAAGUAGUGUUUCCUUGUUAGAAGAUACAAAGCCAAAGACUCAUACGGACUUCGGCUACACCAUGAAAAUUUUGAGAAGCAAUAAGAAGCUUGGUUAGUGUUUUGGAGUCAAAUAUGACUAGAUGUCAUGUGUAUGAUUGAGUAUAAGAACUAGAAUGGCAACCGAUUCCCAAUAGCUAAAGUUAUGUUUCCUUGUUAGAAGAUACAAAGCCAAAGACUAAUACGGACUUCGUGUACACCAUCAAAAUUUUGAGAAGCAAUAAGAAGCUUGGUUAGUAUUUUAGAGUCAAAUAUUACAGGAUAUCAUGUGUAUCAUUGAGUAUAAGAACUAGAACCGCAACCGAUUCCCAAAAGCUAAAGUAAUGUUUCUUGUUUGUAGAUACAAAGCCAAAGACUCAUACCGACUUCGGCUACACCAUCAAAGCUUUGUGAGGCAAUAAGAAGCUUGGUUAGUUUUUCGGAAUCAAAUAUGGCUAGAUGUCAUGUGUAUGAUUGAGUAUAAGAACUAGAACCGCAACUAAUUCCCAAAAGCUAAAUUAAUGUUUCCUUGUUAGAAGAUACAAAGCUAAAAACUCAUACGGACUUUGGCUAAGCCAUUAAUGUUUUGAGAAGCAAUAAGAAGCUUGGUUAUUUUUUUGGAGUCAAAUAUGACUAGAUGUCAUGUGUAUGAUUGAGUAUAACAACUAGAACCGCAACCGUUUCCCAAAAGCUAAAGUAGUGUUUCCUUGUUAGAAGUUACAAAGCCAAAGAAUCAUAUGGAAUUCAGCUACACCAUCAAAGCUUUGAGAAGCAAUAAGAAGCUUUGUUAGUUUUUUGGAGUCAAAUAUGACAAGAUGUUAUGUGUUUG